rnacentral:tRNA from 7 species
GCCUAUCUAACUCAGUUGGUAGAGCAUAAGGCUUUGAACCAUGUGGUUGUGGGUUCAAACCCCACAUUUUACA